rnacentral:rRNA from 1 species
UACGGAGGGUGCUAGCGUUGUUCGGAAUUACUGGGCGUAAAGCGCACGUAGGCGGCUUUGCAAGUUAGAGGUGAAAGCCCGGGGCUCAACUCCGGAAUUGCCUUUAAAACUGCAUCGCUAGAGUUGUGGAGAGGUAAGUGGAAUUCCGAGUGUAGAGGUGAAAUUCGUAGAUAUUCGGAGGAACACCAGUGGCGAAAGCGACUUUCUGGGACGUUCCUGACGCUGAGGUUCGAAAGCUCGGGGAGCAAACAGG